rnacentral:tmRNA from 1 species
AUCGUCCAAAACGAGCCUGUCCUUCCGGCGCGCGAGGAUUAAAUCCAAACGGACGGACUAAGCAUGUAGAUCGCGUUGUAGAGUGCUUGCGGACGCGGGUUCGAUUCCCGCCGCCUCCAGAA